GCCGGAGUGGCGGAAUGGUAGACGCGCACGAUUCAGGGUCGUGUCCUAGCAAUGGGGUGGAGGUUCAAGUCCUCUCUCCGGCA
rnacentral:tRNA from 1 species